ACCCGGCUAGCUCAAUCGGCUUAGAGCAUUCGACUUUUAAAUCACUUGGUUUGGGCAUCGAAAGGUUGCGGGUUCGAGUCCCGCGCUGGGUG
rnacentral:tRNA from 2 species